AACCUGCCCAAGAGAUCGGGAUAACACCUGGAAACAGAUGCUAAUACCGGAUAACAACAGAUGAUGCCUAUCAACUGUUUAAAAGAUGGUUCUGCUAUCACUCUUGGAUGGACCUGCGGUGCAUUAGCUAGUUGGUAGGGUAACGGCCUACCAAGGCGACGAUGCAUAGCCGAGUUGAGAGACUGAUCGGCCACAUUGGGACUGAGACACGGCCCAAACUCCUACGGGAGGCAGCAGCC
rnacentral:rRNA from 1 species